CCACCAUUACUCCACAGAGAGAGAUGCAUACAAAGCUCUCCCCCGCACUCCAUUUGGCAAAUCUGACCAUAAUUCUAUCCUCCUGAUUCCUGCUUACAAGCAAAAACUAAAGCAGGAAGUACCAGUGACUCGCUCAAAACGGAAGUGGUCAGAUGACACGGAUGCUACACUACAGGACUGUUUUGCUAGCAAAGACUGGAAUAUGUUCCGGGAUUCAUCCAAUGGCAUUGAGAAAUGCACCACCUCAGUCAUCGGCUUCAUCAAUAAGUGCGUCGAUGACAUCAUCCCCACAGUGACUGUACGUACAUAUCCCAACCAGAAGCCAUGGCAACAUCCGCAUCGCGCUAAAGGCUAGAGCUGCCGCUUUCAAGGAGCGGGAGACUAAUCCGGACGCUUAUAAGACACUCCACUAUGUCCUCAGAGGAAUCAUCAAACAAGCAAAGCGUCAAUACAGGAUUAAGAUUGAAUCCUACUACACCGGCUCUGAUGCUCAUCGGAUGUGACAGGGCUUGCAAACUAUUACGGACUACAAAGGGAAACCCAGAAGCGAGCUGCCCAGUGACGUGAGCCUACUAGAUGAGCUAAAUGCCUUUUAUGCUCGCUUCGAGGGAAGCAACACUGAAGCAUGCACAAGAGCACCAGCUGUGUGAUAACGCUCAUGGUAGCCGAUGUGAACAAAACCUUUAAACAGGUCAACAUUCACAAAGCCGGGGCUAAACACCUCACUCUGCAACUGGAUCUUAGACUUCCUGACGGGCCACCCUCAGGUGGUAAGAGUAGGCCACAACACGUCUGCCAUGCUGAUCCUCAACACUGGGGCCCCUCAUGGGUGUGUACUUAGUCCCCUCCUGUAUUCCCUGUUCACCCACGACUGCGUGGCCAAACACAACUCCAACACCAUCAUUAAGUUUGCUGACGACACAACAGUGUUGGGCCUGAUCACCGAUAACGACGAGACAGCCUAUAGGGAGGAAGUCAGAGACCUGGCCGGGUGGUGCCAGAAUAACAACCUAUCCCUCAACAUAACCAAGACUAAGGAGAUCAUUGUGGACUACAGGAAAAGGAGGACCGAGCACGCCCCCAUUCUCAUCGACAGGGUUGUAGUGGAGCAGGUUUAGAGCUUCAAGUUCCUUGGUGUCCACAUCAACAACAAACUAGAAUGGUACAAACACACCAAGACAGUCAUGAAGAGGGCACGACAAAGCCUAUUCCCCUCAGGAAACGAAAAAUAUUUGGCAUGGUUCCUGAGAUCCUCAAAAGGUUCUACAGCUGCAACAUCGAGAGCAUCAUGAUUGGUUGCAUCACUGCCUGGUACGGCAACUGCUCGGCCUCUGACCGCCAUGCACUGGGGCUGCACUGGGGCUGCGCUGCCUGCCAUCCAGGACCUCUACACCAGGCGGUGUCAGAGGAUGGCCCAAAAAAUUGUCAAAGACGCCACCCAGCCCAGUCAUAGACUGUGGUGGGGGACUACUACUGCAUGGCAAGCGGUACCGGAGUGCCCAGUCUAGGACAAAAAGGCUUCUCAACAGUUUUUACCCCCAAGCCAUAAGACUCCUGAACAGGUAAUCAAAUGGCUACCCGGACUAUUUGCAUUGUGUGCCACCCCAUCCCAACCCCUCCUUUUACACUGCUUCUACUCUCUGUUUAUCAUAUAUGCAUAGUCACUUUAACUAUACAUUCAUGUACAUACUACCUCAAUAGGGCCGACCAAC
rnacentral:lncRNA from 1 species